CCUACGGGUGGCAGCAGUGAGGAAUAUUGGUCAAUGGCCGGAAGGCUGAACCAGCCAAGCCGCGUGAAGGACGAAGGUGCCAAGCAUUGUAAACUUCUUUUGUCAAGGGACAAAAUCAGGCGCGAGAGCCUGACCGAGGGUACGUGAAGAAAAAGCAUCGGCUAACCCCGUGCCAGCAGCCGCGGUAAUACGGAGGACGCGAGCGUUAUCCGGAUUUAUUGGGUUUAAAGGGUGCGUAGGCGGACUGUUAAGUCCGCGGUAAAAGCCCGGGGCUCAACCCCGGCGUGCCGUUGAAACUGUCUGUCUUGAGUUUUCGUGCGGUUUGCGGAAUGCGCAUUGUCGCGGUGACAUGCUUAGAUAUUGCGCAGAACUCCGAUUGCGAAGGCAGCAUACCGGCGGCGAUCUGACGCUGAUGCAC
rnacentral:rRNA from 1 species